AGUAACAUUCUUGUGGAGGGAAACAGACCGUAUAUUUUAAAAGUUCCCGAGACUUUUGUACGGGGAGAUGCUGUGUGAUUGUUAGAGGCGGCAUACGUUGAAGUGACAAUUGUCGCUUUUCAAUAAGAGUUCGGUGGAAAUUAGAAAUCAGAACAAACAUGUGACAUGGACAAGCUGUAUAAGGAAUAUGUUUAUCACCCAAGUGACCCAAAGAUGACCGUAAUCAAAUACAAAAGACGUGAACGCAAAAACAAGCAAAAAAUCCCACAAAGAGAUAAGGAGGCUGAACCUGAAGGCGUAUUGUCGGAUGCAGCGGACAAUUACUAGAACUUGGACGACACGGAUUAUGCAAAACAUUACAAACAAGAUUUUAUGUAUACCAAUACUUUCUGCUGUCGGAUUGGCGACCAUUCUUAUUGUGCUGAACUAAUUGUGGAAAACGGGCCGUAAUUGCUGAAUCCGGAUAUAUAAUCAAGGGCGUAAUUAAAUACUUGAACAACGAUAAUCUGAAUUACUAAGAAUUAUAGAGGGCGCCGUUUUCCCGUGUUAUACGGUUUUACAGUGUUUACACUAUUGGAGACUCACAUAAGUUUGUGUUGUACUUACCUAACAAAUAAUAUGGCGGGAAAUUUAAGCAUAGAAUGUGGAGUACAUCUGGGUAUCCAGGUAACUGCCGUGUGCGUCACAUGUGAUGCUACACUUGUUUGUGUAGAAUGUAUCACUGGCGAACUACACCAAGGUCACGUGUUCGGGAAAACGAGCAAGAUUGCAGACGACAUCAAAAGAAAACUCAACUCGAAGGAAGCGAAUUAUUGUAAAGUGAUUACAAGCUUGGAGUCGGAUUUGUAUGAGGCAAGGGUGAUGAAAAGGCAACAAGACAGUGAACAGAAAGAAAGAGUCGACUCAAUCAACACACAAAGGUUAAUUCUCAUCCACACUGUUAACGAAAUGGCUGAUGACUUUAUAUCCAAGUACGAGAUUCAAACUCAAUGUAAUUGUGUACAGUUACAAGACGCGAUCAAAGACAUUUCAUCUAAAUUAGAAAAUAUAAAACGCCACAGAGCGGAUAUCAGACGCGUCAUAGCUGAAAAAGAGGAUAUUGCAGUGGUGCACGGUUCACGAAAACUCACAGAUUUUGAUGAACAAAGAAAGGUGUACCCUGAACUAGCCAGUAUCGAGUUUACCUCCGGCAAAGUGAAUACGCAUCAGCUGAAACUCAUGUUCGGAGGCAAGGACGUCGAGUUGGAAGGGAGGGAGUUCUUACAAGGAGCCCAAGCGCCAACCAAUCUCAUUCAUCCUACCAACAGAGGCUCCAGUGCUGGCGGUCACAUCAUGCGACAGGGAAUAGAACUAGUCUUGCAGUCCUCCUUUAAACAUAAUGCAACUAGUUAUGUGACGCGGAUGUGUGGCGAAUCUACCGGAAAUACAUGGUUAACGUGUCAAAAUGAAAGGGAAAUAACUCUUGUUGAUAGAACCGGACAGGUACAGAAAAAUGUGACCUUUGAUACUGUUGUUAUUAGUAUGACUGCCGUUGGCGAAAACACACUGUUGGUAUGUGGAUUUGAUGAAAGGGAGAUCAGAAAGGUUUCUCUACCCAGCGGGAGGGUCACAUCAGCCUUCUCUACAGGGAAACUGUAUCCUAACUACAUAUGUACAGCACCAAGUGGCGACCUCUUUGUAACACUGAUGGAAAAGCGUAGCUUCAAUGUUACCUCCAAAAGUAAGAGAGUGCUGGUUCGAUACUCUCAAAAGGGAGAGAGGAAAGAUCGGGCUCGUCACGACGACCGGGGUGACGCCCUGUUUGUCUGGCCUAUGAGGAUGAGGAUCAGCAACACGGGAGAAGUUUUAGGUGGGACAAAUAGUACAGACAAAAGCAACAAUCACCUUGUCUUCCUCAAUUCAGACCUCACGGUACGCUUACGGUAUCUAGGCAACGGCAAGGUCGUGUCUCGCAAAGAGAAGUUUGAUACCACUACCUACAAACCGGACACGAAGUAUGCAAUUGCUGAUUUCAUCUUCGACAAAUUCGAUAACAUCAUUCUCUGCGAGGCCCACAGUAGGCGUAUCCAGCUUGUGUCCAGAGACUGUCUGCCAAUGCUGACCCUUCAGUCGACACAGGAACAUACCCCGAUGGCCAUGACCAUGACUGAUGACGAUAUUUGGCUGGGGUUUACAGACAGAACUGUUCAAGUGUACAAGUACAAGUGGACAAACUCCUGGACGACAAACUGAUGAUUGUAUCACGUGACCGGAACUUUUAUGUGUGACGUCAUGGUGUAUCUUCUGCUGUUGCUAUUAUCAUCUAAGGACGUGCAAGGUUUUGAUGGUGGAGGAAAGCCGGAGUUCCCGGAGAAAAACCACCGACCUACGGCCAGUACAUGGCGACUGCCCCACAUAGGCCUGGAAUCCUGUGAAGGGCUAAUGGUAGCAGAAUGUCAGACGACGCCUUAACCACUUGGCCACCGCAGCCCCAAAGCCGUGCUAGCCUGAAUAUGUAAAUUAGAAAAUGUUAAGAAAGAAAGAUAGAACAUGAUAUUAGGGAUAAAUAACUGAUGGAGUGUUACCCGGUUGGAUGGGUGGUUAAUUUUACAUGAUAUCUUAAUGUAGUUAAAUUCUAAAUGCUUGUUCAUUUGAUCAAAUUUUGAGUAGCCAUACAAAAACUUUUACAUUUUGGUCAUACGUUUUUGGUACAUCCUCAAACAGUAGUAAAUCAACAGUUGUAAGGCAAAGGAGUCAAUUACCUUCGGCGUGAUUCAUUGUGAUUAGUACAAAACAACUAAUAGUUGGAACUGUCUUUUACAAAAUGUCCACAUGAACAUAAGGGAUUGUCAACAAGAUUUCUUUAAAAAAAAUAACGUUUUAAGGAACUGCAUCCAAGACGUAAUUAAGUAUGAUAUAUUUGACAUUGUUUCGAUCCUACAUAAUAAUAUUCAGGGGGGGGGAGAGAUAUUACAGAU